CUUAUUCUAAGGCGCUUGAGAGAACUCAGGAGAAGGAACUCGGCAAAUUGACACCGUAACUUCGGAAGAAGGUGUGCCCUAUUAGUGUGAAGCGAACAGCGGAGCAUGAACGGGUUGCAAAAAAUCGGUGGCUGCGACUGUUUAUUAAAAACACAGCACUCUGCAAACACGAAAGUGGACGUAUAGGGUGUGACGCCUGCCCGGUGCUGGAAGAUUAAAUGAUGGGGUGCAAGCUCUUGAUUGAAGUCCCAGUAAACGGCGGCCGUAACGAUAACGGUCCUAAGGUAGCGAAAUUCCUUGUCGGGUAAGUUCCGACCUGCACGAAUGGCGUAACGAUGGCCACACUGUCUCCUCCUGAGACUCAGCGAAGUUGAAAUGUUUGUGAUGAUGCAAUCUCCCCGCGGAAAGACGGAAAGACCCCAUGAACCUUUACUGUAGCUUUGUAUUGGACUUUGAACAGAUCUGUGUAGGAUAGGUGGGAGGCUUUGAAGCAGGGUCGCUAGAUCUUGUGGAGCCAACGUUGAAAUACCACCCUGGUGUGUUUGAGGUUCUAACCUAGGUCCAUUAUCUGGAUCGGGGACCGUGCAUGGUAGGCAGUUUGACUGGGGCGGUCUCCUCCCAAAGCGUAACGGAGGAGUUCGAAGGUACGCUAGUUACGGUCGGACAUCGUGACGAUAGUGCAAUGGCAUAAGCGUGCUUAACUGCGAGACUGACAAGUCGAGCAGAUGCGAAAGCAGGACAUAGUGAUCCGGUGGUUCUGUAUGGAAGGGCCAUCGCUCAACGGAUAAAAGGUACUCUGGGGAUAACAGGCUGAUACCGCCCAAGAGUUCAUAUCGACGGCGGUGUUUGGCACCUCGAUGUCGGCUCAUCUCAUCCUGGGGCUGUAGCCGGUCCCAAGGGUAUGGCUGUUCGCCAUUUAAAGAGGUACGUGAGCUGGGUUUAAAACGUCGUGAGACAGUUUGGUCCCUAUCUUCCGUGGGCGCUGCAGAUUUGAGGAAGCCUGCUCCUAGUACGAGAGGACCGGAGUGGACACACCUCUGGUGUAUCGGUUGUCACGCCAGUGGCAUUGCCGAGUAGCUAUGUGUGGAAGAGAUAACCGCUGAAAGCAUCUAAGCGGGAAACUCGUUUCAAGAUGAGAUCUGCCGGGGCCUUGAGCCCCCUAAAGAGUCGUUCAAGACCAGGACGUUGAUAGGUCAGGUGUGGAAGCGCAGUAAUGCGUUAAGCUAACUGAUACUAAUUGCUCGUGCGGCUUGACCCU
rnacentral:rRNA from 1 species